AUUCAUUCACUUCAAUACCUCUUAAAGAUUAUGUACCACAAUUCAUAUCGAAAUUAUACUACAAUAUCAUGCUAGUCAAACUCAUGUAAGUUUAACUUCCAAAAUAUGUAUAUUUCAUAGCAUGUUUCAACAUCUUUCAUGUUCAUUCUUAUCAUUUACAAAAUAAAAUCUUAACAGCCUAGGUACAUGCCAAUUUACCAAUAGAAAGGUACUUCACCACUUUGAGUUCGGGAUUGGUUUGGAUGCUGAGUCCUUAACUUUCUUUCGCACCUAAUCCUACAUACGAAAAAACAAACCAUACGCUGAGUAUACACUCAGUGGUAUUUCUAUAAACCAAUACUUAACAUGCAUUUAAAACAUAACUAUAAAUUCUAACAAUAAGAACUUUAUAAAUUACCAUUCAAUUAUUCUUAAAUUACAAUAACACUUAUUAAUAAGAUCGUAUUCAAUAAGAUCAUACAGUAACAAUAGUAUCUUUCAGUGCUCAGUACAGUAGUUUAUCCCUUACAUCCAUUUUACAUAUCUUCCCUGUAGUUAAGCAAUUCAUAUAUAUUUAUAUUUCAUGUCUUUCGAUAACUUAAACAUUUGUAAUAAAUCAAUCACAGUCACUUAAUUGAUAUCAAACAGUCUUCAGUACUUUCAUUUACCCCUAUUAACAUCACUCGGACUUAAACGGAUAUGCGGAUCCUACCCACACACCGAGGAUAAGAUACAGUGUUUCAUUGGCCGAAACCGAAAUACACCGUAGGGUAACAGUAACAGUAACAGUCAUAAUCAGGUACGAAGUACCUAUUCAGAACGAAUCCGAAACAAUCACAGUAGUCGACACAUAUAGUGUCUCAUCGACACAUAGUCGGAAUAUCCCUGAACACUUCCAAUCUUAUGGCAUGCCAAUUGUAUCCGACUAGCCCGACACUGUUAAUAGGGUAUUCAAAUUGUUUCAUUUCAAUACAGAAGUAGUAACAGUUUCCAUCAUAUCAUUCAUUAUACAUUCUAACUAUUAAAAAUAACAAUUACAUUGUAUUAAAUCAUUAAGCAUAGUUUAUAGAAAUACAAACCGAAAUUCUCGAGUUUACUCGAUAUCCUCUUUCACUUUCUCCUUUCCCUUUUUCGAUGACGUUUUCGGUGCUACGUUGGCUACAUAAAAUUUAACAUUUAAAAUUAUCAAUAUAUGUUAUUUAAUAACACACUCUUUAAUUUCCAUGUAACUUUUACUAUAUUUCCAAUUAGAUCCUACCACCAUAAUCAUUCUUUUUCUUCAAAUAACCUUAUAAAUUUCAUUUUAUACCUACUUUAAACAAGUUUCAACUCUUAAUAUUCAAAAUAAAACAUCAAUUCUACAAUUUAAACAAUUUAAUCCCUACUAUAACAAAACUUAUAUCUAUCUUUACAAUUCAAUCCUUCUCCCACUUUUAACUUGAAUUUCUAUCAAUUAAACCAAUAAUUCUUCCAUUCACUCAAUUUAAUCAACACCUAAAAAUUCAAUAACUUUCUAAAUUUCAACAAAAUUCAAAUAGUAUUUCUUCCCAAGAUUCGAUAGGCACCAAAAUUACAAGAAAAAAGAUAAAAUUGACUUACCACUUAAAGCUUGAACCUUAAAACCCUAUUUUCCUUUCUUUUUUUUUUCUUUCUUUCCCUGUUCUGUUUCGUCCUUCUUUCUUUUUUUUUUCUUUUUUCUUUUAUUAUUUCUUUUAUUAUAUUAUUAAGUAUUAUAUUAUUAUAAUUAUUAAUUUCUUAAAUAAUAAGUAAAUACAUUUAUUUACAUACAUUUGUACCAAUUAUAAUAAUACAAAUGUAUUUAUACUUACCACACACUUGUCACAUAAGGCUUAUUUGUUAAUUUAGUCUUUUGACUUUUCUAUAGUUAAUAAUUAAACCUUCACACUUUAUUCAAUUUAGUCCAUAUACUUAAUGAACCCUAAUUAAGGUAAAUCUACUUAAUUAAAAUUUAAUUAACCUCUCACUUAACUUAGUAAAUAUUUCUAAUAAAUAUUUACGAAUCUAAUUUUUAAAAUCGAAAACCCAAAAACUCACUUUUCCAAUGACCUUAAAAUUUGGGUCAUUACAAAUAUAAUAUAAUAUAUUACAAAAUUUAGAAAACGGAUUGGGUCAGACUCGAGCUGUAACACCCCAUACCCAACUUGAUCAUCAGGUCAGGGUAUCGAGAUAUCAUAUUCAUUGUCGGAGCAACUACAAUUAAUUUCAUAUCAAUUGAAUAUUUUUAUUCAAGUUAUUAAGCUCAUUACACCUUUAUAACAUGAUUUAUAAGCAAAUCGGAGCUUCGUACGAUCUUAUGAAAGCUCUCUUAAUAAUUGUUAGUUGUUCAAGGACUUAAGUAUAAAGUUUCAAUCUAUCGAGUUGACGUUGCAACUUUGAGAAUUCUACGUCGCAAUGUCAUUCACUGACUUUGGCUCGUCGUGACAUGUGCUCUGUUUUCAUGAAAACCAUGCUUUUCAAUUUACAACACCUAAAUCAAUACUUGUUUAACACUUUUCAACCAGUUCAACAAACAUAUCAUUCAUAUUUACCUAUUUCCAACCUUAAACAUCACAUAAUUCAACUUAAAACUCAAUCAGAUAUAACUAUGUUUGCAAAGUUAACGAGGUGCUCAAAGUCCAUCAAAUGAUUCCACUAGAAAUCUUCACAUACAUACUUGGUUUAAACCUACGUACAUACCAUAAACUAUUACCAAAAUAUCAACAACAUACCCUCUUCUAAGCUUUAAGAUGUGAUGUGAUGAGUUGAGAUUGAUCUUCACUCUAAAGCUUCAAUUCAAGCCUUUACCACCUACGCAUUGGGAAAUAACGUGUUAAGCUUAUAAAAGCUUAGUAAGUACAUCAAGAAUUAAACUUAUCAUUACCUUAAUUAAAUUUAACAUACCAAUGCUUUAAAUAUAACAUAAUGAAUUUAAUUAAAUGAUCAUUAAAUGCUCAUUUCCACUUACAAUCGUACUAUGUUUCACUUAACGUGUAACAUCCUCAAAACCCAUUUGGUCGUAAAUAAUAUGAGAUAAAAUUUUAAUAAAAUAAGGUAUAAGAUCAAAGAAAAUAAAAGUUGCAAUAUAUCAAAAGAGAGUUAAAUCAAGAAGCAUGACAUGAUGUAUAAUUGAUUUCUCAAUAAAAUGAGAAAAUGAUGUGAAGAUGAUAAAAGAGAAUAUUGAGGAGUAUUAAAAAAAUAAUAAUAAUAAUUAAGAAGUAGGUUUUCAUAUAUUGAUUUAAAGUAAGGACUAAAUCGUAAAUAUGUAAAAAAAAAUUGGCUUAAGUGUAAAUGUUCAAAUUUUAAGGGAUCCAAGUGUAAAAAUAAGAAAUUUGGAGGACCAAAAGUGAAAAUAAUCCAAUUUAAUAUGAUAUGGAAUUGGCAUGCAAGGACCAAAUUGAAUAGGUGAAGAAUUAUGAGGGAUGAAAUCGUAAUUUUAUCAAAUUAAGCGAUGAUUCAAAGAUGAAAUUUUAAAAGAUCAUAAAGGGCAAAAUGGUCAAUUAGAAAAAAGAGAAAGAACUCUACAAGGCAAUGAUGAUGUUAUAUAAUUAUUUAAUUAGAUAAAUAUUACUUUAUUAAUAUUUUAAUGAGAUAUUUUACUAAUAUUUUAUUAUAAAUUGCUAGUAUAAAAGGACAAGAAGAUGAAAAAAAAAGAGAGGAUCCUCCCAUCUUUCCAACGUGAGUGAGGGGGAGUGAAGAAGAAAACUUUUUUGUCUUUACAAUUUGGUCCUUCCACCAAAAAUCCACCAUUUUCACCUAGAAUUUUAAGAAAUUUUCAUAAUCACCAAGAGAGAAAAGUGAUAAGGAGACUAUGGAGAAUAAGAAAAUAACCUUGGAUUCAAGAAAAUGGAAAUUGGAGGAGAGAAAAUCAAGUUAAAGAUUGCAAUCAUUAGGACAGGGUAAGAACAUCAAGAUUUCAAUAUAUUUUUAAGUUUAAUAUUAUUGAAAAAGCUUGAAAUUGAUGUUAAAGUAGAGUUUUCUUAUAUAAGGUUUUAUGUUCUUGAUAUGUUAGUGAAGGGAAAUAAGAGGAAGUGAUAGGAAAUAUUGUAGAGAAAGGAAAGGAGGGUGUUAUAAACUUGGUUAUCAAUAUUUUGCACUAAAACAGUUUUGGACAGCAGCAUUAGUUUGACUUUGAAAAUUCACCAAAAACUGUAGAAAUUGAAUUAUAGAUUAAUUAAAGUAUUAAAUUAAAUCCUAUUGAGUCUAGUUUUACAUAGAAGAAACGGUGUAAGCAAAAGAAUUUCAUGUUAUGAGAUAUAUGAAAUUUUGUGAGACAAUGUCAGAUUGAUUUCGAGUUCCCCUGUUCUGACUUUGGAAAAUCAUCAAAAAUUAUAAAAAAAAUAAUUAUGGGUUUAAAUUUAUAUUUUUAAAUUAUUAAUGAGUCUAUUUUCAAGAUAAAUAAACAUAAACAUCAUCCAAAUCUCGUACUAAGAGAUAAUUAAUUUUUAGUAAAGAAAGAUCGAAGCUGUCAAAUAGCAGAACAAUGAUAAAUUUGAAGAUUUUACUGUGCUUAUUGAUUAAAUUAUAAAUUCUGAAAUUUUUAUGGUAACAAUAUAUUUGAGUCUAGUUUCAAAAACAUCAAGCAGAUCUUAAUUUAGAAUUCUGUAGCUCAAGAUAUAAAUAAUUUAGUGACUACGACUCAAGUGGACAGCUUUAAUAUGAACACAUAAGUAAAUAAUGGAAUUAUAGAUAAUGUUACAUAUAAGCAUCUUAUAUACUAAAAGCUAAAGAUUCUAACAAAUAUAUACAUAAAGGAUGUGGAAUGGAGAGGAGGAGGAAGAAAAAAUAUAUUAAUAUAUAUAUAUAUAGUAGAUGAAUUUGAAAUAUUUCGAAAUGGUUGUAGGUGAUGGAAUGAUUGAUACAUAUGAGUAUGUUUAAAUGAAUUGAUAACAUAAUAAGUGCCUAAUUGUUAAUUGAUGUGAAUUCUUUGUUAAAAUUUUAUGAACAAUUAAUUUGAUUGGCACAAUUUAGAAAUAAAUAUGAAAUAUACAUAAAGUGGGUAAACUAAUUUUGUAAGUGCAAGUCAUGCAAUUGUCUUAUUUGUACAAUUUUAAUAUUUGUGUUAACUUUAUAAAUUUUGUUAUCUUUAAUUGAAUAUCAUAUUUUAAUGAACUCCUUUAACUCAUAAUUAGUUCUAUUGUAAAUUCAAUUAUUACUAAAAUUAGUUAAUGAUCUAUAUUAAUUAAAUAAUAAGAUAAAUUGAUCCGAAAUUUUCAGUAGUUACUUCGGCAACGAAUGUGACAUCCUGAUGCCUUGACUUGGCGAUCGGGUCGGGUAUGGGGGUGUUACAUAACGAUUCACUACUAAUUUCACCUAACACUUUUCGUUUAGCUCACAAUGACUUAAUUGGACAAGCAGGAUAUGUGGAAAAGAAAACACUAGAAUGCACCAAAACGCAGAAUCAAUGAAAUGCUCCGAAGAGCCACUAUCACUAAGUUGCACCGAAGUGCCUCUAUCACUGAUUUGCACCAAAGUGCCACAAUCACUUUAUGCGUUGAAAGUUUCCUAAUAACCUGUCAUCUAUAUCCAACAUGUUCAUUUCUUAUCUACCUGAGCAUUUAUAUUUUCAUUUUUCAUCACUACCACUUAUUAAUUAAUAACAUAUAAAAUUUUACAUUCUUUACAAUUUAGUCCUUAUUUUCAUGAAAAUCAAUAUUCAUUAAAUUAUCACUUUAAUUUCACAUAGAAUUAAAUUUACUACCAUAAAAACUUCAUUCAAACUCUCAAUUCAAGUAUUUUUAUUUCAAACUUCUAUUUUUUACACUCUUUACAAAUUAGCCUUCUUUACAUAAAUUUCACUACACUUAACUUACAAUCAUUUCAAUUUAAUUCUUCCUAACAUAUAAUUCAACAAUCACUUUAUUCUCACUUUAGAAUACAUUUCACUUCCAUAUAUCGCUUUAUUUAAACAUUUCAUUACAAUAUUUUAGUAAACAUAAUCACUUUUGAUUAUUUUCAAUUUAGUCCUUAACAAUAUGAAAUUUCAUGUUCACUAUAAAUCCACUUCAAUAUCACUUUAAAUUUAACUCACUACCAUAUAAUACUUCAUUUAAGCACUUAUUCAUAAUAUUAUAUUCUACACAUUAAAUUUUGUAUACUUUACAAUUUAAUCACUUAUUAUAUGCUUUCAUUACACAAUUAAUUUACUUGAAAUUGAGAUUAAAUGGAUAUCUUCACUAUUUCAAAUUAAAUAAUAACACAAAUAUUUUUAAGUUAAAUUCUUGAAGUACUUACCUAUCUUUACAUAUUUCAUAUUUGGAUUUUAAUAGGUAUAGUAAAAUUCUUGAAGUACUUACCUCUCUUCUGUUAGAACUUCACUAUUUUGCUUUUAAUUCUCUUCCUUCCUCACUUUUGUCACCAUCUUCACUUCGUUUCCAACACUUCCAUCAUUUCUUUUUUUUUUUCUACUUCAUGAACACAUCAAAUAGAAAAUCAAUUUCUUUACUAGAAAUCACUUUCUCAUAUCUCUACUUCAACAAAAUAUAAAUUUCAUAAGAAAACACUUGAAUUCAUACCUUGUCUCUUUAAUCUCUUCACUUUCUUCUCAACUUUUUUCACUUCCAAAUCCAAUUUCUUUUUUCCAAGAUGAUAAUCAAACUCUCUAGAAUCUCU
rnacentral:lncRNA from 1 species